UACGUAGGGCGCAAGCGUUGUCCGGAAUUAUUGGGCGUAAAGAGCUCGUAGGCGGUUUGUCGCGUCUGCCGUGAAAGUCCGGGGCUCAACUCCGGAUCUGCAGUGGGUACGGGCAGACUAGAGUGCGGUAGGGGAGACUGGAAUUCCUGGUGUAGCGGUGAAAUGCGCAGAUAUCAGGAGGAACACCGGUGGUGAAGGCGGGUCUCUGGGCCGUAACUGACGCUGAGGAGCGAAAGCAUGGGGAGCGAACAGG
rnacentral:rRNA from 1 species